rnacentral:misc_RNA from 1 species
GAGGUUGAUGGUCCUCUUCGUGGUGCUGGCGGUCGGGAUGAUCUGCCUCAACGCCGUCUUCCUCUUUGAGGGCAUGCAGGUCGCAACGGACCCGUCAUACGUGACCGCCUUCGGGGUGGCCGGAUCGAGCGCCCUCGUAAUGGUUCUGCUCGACAUCCAGCACUACGGCACACUCGCCGCUCAAGUCUUCUUCGGACUAUGGCUGGCGCCGCUCGGGUAUCUCGCCUACCGAUCCGGACUGUUCCCCAAGGCCUUGGGCGUCGUGCUGGUGCUCGCCACCAUCUCCUACCUCGCGGACUCGCUCGCGGCGUUCCUGCUUCCGAACCUCGAGCU